CUACGGGUGGCUGCAGUGAGGAAUAUUGGUCAAUGGGCGCGAGCCUGAACCAGCCAUCCCGCGUGCAGGAUGACGGCCCUAUGGGUUGUAAACUGCUUUUCUAUGCCAAGAAACCUGAUUACGUGUAAUCAGUUGCCGGUAGCAUAGGAAUAAGCAUCGGCUAACUCCGUGCCAGCAGCCGCGGUAAUACGGAGGGAUGCAAGCGUUAUCCUGAUUCAUUGGGUUUAAAGGGUGCGCAGGUGGGCUUGUAAGUCAGUGGUGAAAUGCUGCCGCUUAACGGUAGAACUGCCAUUGAUACUGCGAGUCUUGAGUAUGGUUGAGGUAGGCGGAAUGUGUUGUGUAGCGGUGAAAUGCAUAGAUAUGACACAGAACGCCAAUUGCGAAGGCAGCUUACUAAGCCAUUACUGACGCUGAGGCACGAAAGCGUGGGGAGCGAACAGGAUUAGAUACCCCAGUAGUC
rnacentral:rRNA from 1 species